UUGUAGAUUAUUUAAAGAAAUAAUCCAUGCAAAAUAACCACUACUGCUCCAGAGUAAGUAGUCAAACCGUUUAAGAACAGUUUGACAACUUACCUGGGGUCUGCUGGGAUAUGGGGCUGUAGUAGGGAAUAGGAGCAGUGGUGCAAUGUGUGUGAAAGGUUCAGUGUGUGUGGGGGUGUAGUGUGUGAAUGUGUAGGGUGUGUGGGGCAAUGUGUGUAUGAGGGGGCUGUGUAUGUGUGUGGCAAUGUUAGCAUGGGGGGCUGUGUGUAUAUGGGUGGGCAGUGUAUGUGUGUGUGUGAGGCAAUGUGUGUAAAUGUGUAUGGUGUGU
rnacentral:lncRNA from 1 species